ACGGUUACCUUGUUACGACUUCACCCCAAUUAUCAGACCCACCUUCGACUGCGCCCCCCUUGCGGUUGGGCUACAGGCUUCGGGUGUUUCCGACUCUCAUGGUGUGACGGGCGGUGUGUACAAGGCCCGGGAACGUAUUCACCGCGGCAUGCUGAUCCGCGAUUACUAGCAAUUCCGACUUCAUGCAGGCGGGUUGCAGCCUGCAAUCUGAACUGAGACGGCUUUUAGGGAUUUGCUCCACAUCGCUGUCUUGCUUCCCUCUGUAUGUCCGCCAUUGUAGUACGUGUGUAGCCCAGGACAUAAAGGGCAUGAUGAUUUGACGUCGUCCCCACCUUCCUCCGUUUUGUCAACGGCAGUCUCGCUAGAGUGCUCUUGCGUAGCAACUAACAAUAAGGGUUGCGCUCGUUGCGGGACUUAACCCAACAUCUCACGACACGAGCUGACGACAACCAUGCACCACCUGUGUGGGAUGUCUCCGAAGAGAAAACUCUAUCUCUAGAGCGGUCAUCCCCAUGUCAAGCCCUGGUAAGGUUCUUCGCGUUGCUUCGAAUUAAACCACAUACUCCACUGCUUGUG
rnacentral:rRNA from 1 species